AUUGAACGCUGGCGGCAUGCCUUACACAUGCAAGUCGAACGGUAACAGGUCUUCGGAUGCUGACGAGUGGCGAACGGGUGAGUAAUACAUCGGAACGUGCCCGAUCGUGGGGGAUAACGAAGCGAAAGCUUUGCUAAUACCGCAUAAGAUCUACGGAUGAAAGCAGGGGACCGCAAGGCCUUGCGCGAACGGAGCGGCCGAUGGCAGAUUAGGUAGUUGGUGGGAUAAAAGCUUACCAAGCCGACGAUCUGUAGCUGGUCUGAGAGGACGACCAGCCACACGGGGACUGAACCAGGCCCAAACACCCUGGGGGAGAGAGCGGGGGGAUAUUUGGGAAAGGGGGCGAAGUCUUAUCCAACCCGGCCGGGGGGCAGAAUAACGCCUUUGGGUUUUAAACCUCUUUUUUAACGAAAGAAAAAGCCUUGGUUAAAUCCCGGGGGUCAAGGACGUAACCAAAAAAAAAAGCCCGGCCUAACUAGGCC
rnacentral:rRNA from 1 species